UUGGAGGGCAAGUCUGGUGCCAGCAGCCGCGGUAAUUCCAGCUCCAAUAGCGUAUAUUAAAGUUGUUGCAGUUAAAAAGCUCGUAGUUGAAUUUCGGGAUUAGUGCGCCGGUCGUGCCUUCGGUAUGUACUGGUGUUACUGGUUCCUACCUUCUGACGAACCGUCAUGUCAUUAAUUUGGUGUGGCGGGGAAUCAGGACUGUUACUUUGAAAAAAUUAGAGUGUUUAAAGCAGGCUCGCGCUUGAAUACAUUAGCAUGGAAUAAUGAAAUAGGACGUUCGAUCCUAUUUUGUUGGUUUCUAGGAUUGACGUAAUGAUUAAUAGGGAUAGUUGGGGGCAUUAGUAUUCAAUUGUCAGAGGUGAAAUUCUUGGAUUUAUUGAAGACUAACUACUGCGAAAGCAUUUGCCAAGGAUGUUUUCAUUAAUCAAGAACGAAAGUUAGGGGAUCGAAGACGAUCAGAUACCGUCGUAGUCUUAACCAUAAACUAUGCCGACUAGGGAUCGGAUGAUGUUAUUUUUAAUGACUCAUUCGGCGCCUUAUGGGAAA
rnacentral:rRNA from 1 species